UUGAUUCUGGCUCAGGACGAACGCUGGCGGCGUGCCUAAUACAUGCAAGUCGAGCGGACAGAUGGGAGCUUGCUCCCUGAUGUUAGCGGCGGACGGGUGAGUAACACGUGGGUAACCUGCCUGUAAGACUGGGAUAACUCCGGGAAACCGGGGCUAAUACCGGAUGCUUGUUUGAACCGCAUGGUUCAAACAUAAAAGGUGGCUUCGGCUACCACUUACAGAUGGACCCGCGGCGCAUUAGCUAGUUGGUGAGGUAACGGCUCACCAAGGCAACGAUGCGUAGCCGACCUGAGAGGGUGAUUGGCCACACUGGGACUGAGACACGGCCCAGACUCCUACGGGAGGCAGCAGUAGGGAAUUUUUCGCAAUGGACGAAAGUUUGACGGAGCAACGCCGCGUGAGUGAUGAAGGUUUUCGGAUUGUAAAGCUCUGUUGUUAGGGAAGAACAAGUACCGUUUGAAUAGGGCGGUACCUUGACGGUACCUAACCAGAAAGCCACGGCUAACUACGUGCCAGCAGCCGCGGUAAUACGUAGGUGGCAAGCGUUGUCCGGAAUUAUUGGGCGUAAAGGGCUCGCAGGCGGUUUUUUAAGUUUGAUGUGAAAGCCCCCGGCUCAACCGGGGAGGGUCAUUGGAAACUGGGGAACUUGAGUGCAGAAGAGGAGAGUGGAAUUCCACGUGUAGCGGUGAAAUGCGUAGAGAUGUGGAGGAACACCAGUGGCGAAGGCGACUCUCUGGUCUGUAACUGACGCUGAGGAGCGAAAGCGUGGGGAGCGAACAGGAUUAGAUACCCUGGUAGUCCACGCCGUAAACGAUGAGUGCUAAGUGUUAGGGGGUUUCCGCCCCUUAGUGCUGCAGCUA
rnacentral:rRNA from 1 species